CAGUAGCCGCGGUAAUACGUAGGGUGCAAGCGUUAAUCGGAAUUACUGGGCGUAAAGCGUGCGCAGGCGGUUCGUUAAGACAGAUGUGAAAUCCCCGGGCUUAACCUGGGAACUGCAUUUGUGACUGGCGGGCUAGAGUAUGGCAGAGGGGGGUAGAAUUCCACGUGUAGCAGUGAAAUGCGUAGAGAUGUGGAGGAAUACCGAUGGCGAAGGCAGCCCCCUGGGCCAAUACUGACGCUCAUGCACGAAAGCGUGGGGAGCGAACAGGAUUAGAUACCCGAGUAGUCCCUGUCUCUUAUAC
rnacentral:rRNA from 1 species